UCUGACCGGCCUUGAAAGAGGCACUCCCUUCGGGGCAGAUGUGUAGGUGCUGCAUGGUUGUCGUCAGCUCGUGCCGUGAGGUGUCGGCUUAAGUGCCAUAACGAGCGCAACCCUCAUCAUUAGUUACCAUCAGGUAAGGCUGGGGACUCUAAUGAGACUGCCAUCGUAAGAUGUGAGGAAGGUGGGGAUGACGUCAAAUCAGCACGGCCCUUACGUCCGGGGCGACACACGUGUUACAAUGGGUGGUACAAAGGGCAGCUACCUGGCGACAGGAUGCUAAUCUCGAAAAACCGCUCUCAGUUCGGAUCGGAGUCUGCAACUCGACUCCGUGAAGCUGGAUUCGCUAGUAAUCGCGCAUCAGCCACGGCGCGGUGAAUACGUUCCCGGGCCUU
rnacentral:rRNA from 1 species